UAAAGCUCAUUCCCACACUUAGACAUAUUUGGACUAACAUUGACUUCAGCUUGCCCUAACACUAUUCGACCAAACCUCCCUUUCCUCCUCUUCGUUCUCCUCUUUCGACCAAUACCGUCCUCCUCUUCGUUCUCCGUCUCUGACCAAAACCCUCCUCGUCUUCGUUCUCCAGCUCCAACCAGAACCCGACCCUCCUCGUCCUCCUUCUUUUUUUUGUGUCGGACCAGCUCCUCUGCUUGAAGACGGUGAACAUAAUCCGAGUUUGAGGCCGGUGAUUUGGAGAAAAUUUGAGCUUUUCUUUCAUAGAGAGGUAGCAACUGCAAGUAGCACAACAGAAAGAAAAAGGGAGAUCAAAACGUGGGAAUGGCGAAAGCUUUACUUUGCAGCAACUGCAAGUAGCUCGUGAGGAAUAUGAUGAGGAAGCUACACUGUGUGUUUUCCGGUUGAAGUCCCUGAAGCAAGGGCAAGCCCGAAGUCUUCUAACACAAGCAGCUCGCCACCAUGUUGCUCAGUUGAACUUCUUCCGGAAAGGACUCAAGUCACUUGAGGUUGUCGAGCCACAUGUUAGGUUGGUUACAGAGGAGGAAGGUGAUGAGAGUGUUCGCACGGUUCAGAUGAUGAGGUAGGUGAUAAGAGUGGUCAUGCAACCGGGAGUCAGACUGAGAGCCCCGGUGUCAAUCCCAAAUCUUCAGGAAACUCGAAAAAUGGUAAAUCUUUAUUGUCAGUGCUUUGAAUUUUGAGUCUAAAAUGAUCUGAGAAAAGGGAAUGUAGAAAGAUGUUGAUUCUGUUUGGUACCAUUAUAUGGUUCAUUUGAAGAACAUAACAGGGGAUUAUUACAAAGAGUGAUUAGUUAACUCU